rnacentral:lncRNA from 1 species
GAUAGCUUAUCCACAAUACGAUGUUAGCUUGUGUUGAGAUGAAUCUGUACAUUUGCUUAUUCAGUUGGGCAUAUCAGCCAAUUAAAUUGUUAAACAGUAGAUAUUAAAACUGUUAAGCGAAAGUGAAAUAAUUGGAUAUUCCCAGGACACCAAAAAGUACUGUGUUGGAAAUUAAGAUGGCCAGUAUAGAAGUUCUGUAAUUUUGUAUCUGUAAGUAGUUGUUUCAUCUCUUAUGUAUUCAAUCUAAUGUUGAUUAUUCAAAAUUCUAGAUUUGUCAUGCUCCACUUCAUAUUCACUAUUCAGUACAAUGGCUUGUAUUCUUGAAGAUGAAAUUAUCCAUGCUGAAACACUUGAAAUGGAUCAUAUCCUAACCGUAACUGCCUUUUCUCUUGUAACUAUUUGUAGAACAACCGUGUUGAUAGGAUGUCAUCUUCUAAUCUUGGGACGCAUGGGUACCUCCAAGCGGGUCAGAUGACCCCUCUGCAUUCGUUUGUCAUGCAUCAACAAGAUAUUUCUCAGCUUGUUCAGCCUCAAGUCCCUUCACCUCAUUUUGCACAAUCAGUGUUGCUGCAGCAAAAGGUGUGAGCUUAAGAAUGCAUCUUUUGUUUCAUUUUUAUAGUUAAUGACCAUGGUCUUUCAUUCUUUUUUUGUAGGCUGUACCUGAUGGUUCACAGAUGCCUAUGCAGAAUCAUGUGCAUCCAUCUCAAGGUGCUCAUGGCUUGGUACAGUCCUUUGGUCAAGGGUAUGGAGAUAUUCAAACUAGCCAAGUAGCACAAUAUGGAGCUACGACACCAUCGUCCUCUGUGAAUGAACAGGUAGGGGAAGUUCUUAUUAAUAAUUGAGGAUAUACAUGUUCGAUACGAUACCGUCUUAGAAAGUACUCCUUAACAGGCAGUGGAAUCUGGCAAUGGAGAUUAUAAUGGAUCUAAUCAGUCAGAGAAUAACUUUCAAGACAUUUCUUCACAAUUCCGUGAUGUGCUAAGGCUUGAUUCCCAUACCCAUAAUCAGAAACCUAAGGUAUGCAAGCACUUAUUACCUAGCAAUUUUUCUUGGCUUGUAGAGCCUAGUUAGGUUGGAUAUAGGGAAAAUGUUCUGAAUGUUUGUGUUUUCAAUCUCUCUCCCCAGGAAGCUAAUGGUCAGGUUUCACCUGAUGAACACAAUGGUGCUAAAUCCAUUGUCCCUGAAACUCUAGUCUCAUCUGGGAAACCUGAGAGGAACUCAGAGAGUGCUCUGCUGGAUGAAAGGUCGCUUUUGACAUGCAUCCUCCGUACUAUACCAGCUGGUGGAAGAAUCAGAAUCAGUUCAACGGUGAGCAAACUAAUCAUAACCACAAUGAGGGAUCAAUUGAAUUUGAAAAUGCGCUUUUGUAUAAUGUCUGUUUCAUAUGUGCUAUACAGCUUCCAAACCGUUUGGGCAAAAUGCUAGCCCCUCUGCACUGGCAUGAUUACAAGAAAAAGUACGGGAAGCUGGACGAUUUUGUUGCUAGCCAUCUUGAGGUCUGUCUCAUCCCAAUUUCCAAACUUUUUGAUGUGUUUAUCUCAAAAUUUUGAGAUGCUAAACUGGUUUUCACUUGCAGUUAUUUGCGAUAGAGGAUGACUACAUUCAAGUUAGAGACGGUGCACAGAAAAUGGUAGCAGCUUCAGCAGCAGCAGCCAAAGUGGCAGCAGCAGCUGCAGCGUCGUCAUCCCCAAACUCCAUCUAUGUGGCUAUGACUCCUAUGGCUCAGUCCCUAGGGUUAAAGAAGAAUGACAACAGAGGUAGGCAGAGCUCUGAUUUUAUGAUGAAGCAACAAAGAAAGCUCUGAUUUUACAAGUCAAGCUUUUGAAAGUAAAAGGCGUAUUAGAGUGAGGCGAAACAAUCUCCUAUCUUGUUUUCAUUUUUUGGUGUGAAGCUAAGAAGAUAUACAUUCCUAUUUACUUUUGCCCUUAAUAGUAUCCAUGAUUAAAGUCGACAAUGUUUAAUUUAACAAGCUUAAGAGUUGGCCAUAAGAAUUCAGAAAAGAACCAGCAAAACUCAACGCCUAUCAUAAACCAAUCUAACCAAGUCAGCAAAACAAAAUCUCUAUAAAGAAGGAAAUAUGAAUAACCGUUAACCAAGGCACAAAUCUAUCGACACUCGGAUACACAGAGACUCACACUCAGACGGGAUAUGCAACUAAAUAUCGGCAGCGGUUCUACUUUGAGUAUCGGAAGAGGACCUGGAACCAAACAAAAGAUAGUGGAUGAAAAAAUGAAGCAACGGUUUUGCUAUAGAAUGUUGGUUUAAGAAUACUGUUUGUCCAAAAAAAAAAAAUAAUAAUAAUAAAAAGAAUACUUGCAUACUCAAUAUCUUAUUUAUACUACUUAGUAGUACUUAUUGUUAUACCGGUUUAAGGAAGAGAAGAAAAGAGUAAAAACCUCCUCAAGAGAAUUAAGAACAUAAGCAAAGAGUAAUAAACUUGAUUGCAUAAAAAACAACAUGAUUUCUUUACAAAAGUACCUAAAAAUAGUUUUUACUUUAAGGAACCAAACAUACGAAAAACCUACACAUGCAUUUCCUUGGUAGCAAGAACUUCCUACAUCAAACUGAUUAAUAAAAGACAAAUCUUUUUACCAAUCAUAGUACGACGACUUGACAUGUGCUAGAGCGUGGGAUUUUGAGGAGUUCCUUCAAGAUAUCAUCUUUUCUUGGACAAUAAUAAAAACGUAGAGUAAAUUUCUUGAGGAUUGCUGAAUUCUCUAGGAAAUACUUUACUAGCUUCAUUUCUGCAACAUAUCCUGAGAAUGGGAUAUCGUAAUUAAUAAACUCUAGCGACGAUAGCAAUAUAGGAUGUGUCAAUCCGUUUUGCCAAAAGAAAUAGUUACUUAAGGAGCUAGAUUUUAUUAUCUUGGAUUUUUGAUUGGUAAUCAUAAAAAAUAUUAAUUUUUUACUGUUUGUGUAGUUUCAUAUUUUUAAAAAUUUUAGUAUGUGUUACAUAAUAAAAUAAAAAUAAUAAACACUUUUCUUUUCUUCAAAAUGAGUAGUAUUUUGGGUUUUGACGAUACUAGUCAUUUUUAUAGUAGAUAAACAAACCUUUUCUAUGUUAUUAGAGUUUUACAUUAUGAUGUUUCGUUUUUAUUAAUGUGGCUAAGGAUUCUUAUUAUGGGUUUCUUAAGAGAAUCCUUACAAUUAAAAUUUAAAAGUAAUCAAAAUAAAUAAAAUCAACAAAUAAAGUUAAGAAUUGUUAAGAGUUGGCUCUAAUAUAUGAGGUUUAAGGAUUGUUAAGAGCCCCAUAUGUCAAAAUUUAAAAUUAAAAAAUUUGUAAGAGUCACUCAUGGGACUCUACCAUUGGAGAUUGUCUGAGAUUUCUCUAACAUUUAAAAUCAUAAGCUGCCAUGGAAAUUCAGAGAGUAAGAAGCAAAAUAAAUGGACAACAAGAUAGAAGGAAUGUGAAGUUGUGAACCAAUCCAAAGCAGAAGAAGACUUAGCCAUGGGAACAGCUUCCAAAUAAGUAAAGCAUUGCUUAACUUGUUUAUAAACAACGUUCCUUAGAUAUUUUGACGAGCCAACCAAAGGGGAUAGUUCUAACAACCUUUAUAAACCACAUAGAGACUAAGAAUUCUAGUUAACAACUUCGAAGUUAGGCUAGGGUUUUUCAAACUCUUAGUGAACAUUCUUAAAAAAGUCUUAACAUUCUUAAUUUAAAAAAGUCUUAACAUUCUUAAAAAAGUCUUAACAUUCUUAAUUUAACCGCUAAAUCUGGGUUAAAUUGACAUGUCUAAAAAAAGUCUCAAACAAUUCCAUGGCUCAAAAGCCAAAUAUCCUCCAAAAUAAACAAGUACAAACCAAAAGGUUAACAUUCAACUAAAAAUAUUCAGCAAUAUCUUUUAGUAAUUAAAGAACAAGGACUUCACAACCGGUAGAGUAUCUUGGCAUCUCAACGAGUUCUUGAAGGAAGUCACCCUUUGCCCUUUUGGAAUAGUGAAGAUCAAGCCUUAGUUUCUUCAGCAUUGUUGAAUUCUUCAGCAAGUAUCUUAUUAGCUCUCUUUCUCCUUCAUACCCCGAGAUCGAACGUUUCAGUUCCACAAACUUUAGCGAUGAUACCAAACACUGAGGCACUGCUGAAAACACCACCUUUGGAUCUUUCUUCUUCUCACGACGCAUGUAUAGUUCCUUGACCAAUUCCUGCAAAAACAGAGGAAACGAAAUUGAGUAAACAGCUACAUAAAAAGCUUUCCCAGAAAAAAGAAAAAAAGCUUUCACAGACAUAUGUGUAGCGUAAAUCAGAGCUAUAUUUCAUUACCAAUGUGAGAGAUCCUAGUUUUGGGCAGCUCUCAAGAAUGAGUGGCAAUAAUUCAAGAUCAGUUUUAGUAAAUCUAGCAUUCAAGCUGGAUAGGUUUCGAAACUGUUGCACCGGUCCCGAUUUCGAGUAUAGAAAGAUAUCCUGGUAACAUAAGUAAACACAUAAAAAUGUUAUGGUAAGAAACUUUCUUGGAAAAACUUUUCUUUUAUAUAUAAUAUACUCAAACGUUUGAAUUUAUACCUUCCAAAUACCAUUACUAAUUACUAGCUCCCUCACUCUGGAUAUAUCGGUGAUGAGGUCAUGAAUCAUGCUACUAUUGUAUGUCCUAUGGCUUAGGUAGACAACAUCAAUAUCUAGUUUGGUAGAGGAUCCCAAAUUGAUGAUCUCAAAGUUCUUUGUUCUGCAAAUCAUAGUCCUUAAGCACUCAAGUAAAGGAGCAUUAAUCACAACUCCAAAUUGAUCAAUGUGGAUUCUCUUUAACGUUUUAGAGCGCACUUGUAAAACCUUUGCAUUAUAUGCUGGAUAUCUUUUGAUGGUCAAAUCCUCUAGAACUGGUGAGCCUGAGAUAAGAUUCUCCAAAGUGGACUCAUUGGGAUAUCUAACUUGAUCUAAAAGGAGGAUCUUUAGACAAGGUAUGGGAACAAACUCGGCAUUAACUAAGGUGGCUCCAUAGAGUCGUAAGUGCACCAGUGUCUCACAGGUAUAUAACCUCAAGGGUGGUAUCUUAUCAGGUUGAUAAGUGAGAUCGAAACUAAGAUCGAUAUGCUGAAUCCUACGCCUAGCCACAGCAUCAAUCCAUGAUGAGAUAUCACACAUACCAUGAUGAUGACCAAUAGAAAAAUGGAGUUUGCGUAUCGAUGACUCAUUGUCUGAAUAAAUAAACCUAUCAACAAAACUCACAAAUUUAUAAAAAUUUGAGAAUGCAUAGGGGUUUAAGUCCAAUCCAGGAACCCGUUGCCAAAGAUAUCUCCAUUUGGUGGACAAAACACUUGUUCUUACAGCGUCCUUGGUAGAGAGAUGAAAAAGUAUUUCAUAAAUCAAAUGUUCAGGUAACUGGCUUAUCCUAUCUUCCAACGUUGAGACGUUGUCACAUAUUUUGGUUUUCUUCUUUCUACCCACCAUUUCUCUUUCUUCACACCACUAUAAUCUACAUUUUAAAAAUGGAAGUUUCAGAACUAAUCAUCUAAGUUCGAAGAGAUACGGACACAUAGCUUGCAUCAAACUAAUUAAGAGAUACAAACACAUGUAAAUUACGACCAGCCCUAAUCCAAAUUUCAAUCAAGUAGUCUAGUGAAAGAGAAGACCUAAAAGCACAUGGAUGAUUAAGCAACUAUUAAAAAAGAAGAAGAAGAAUAACUAAAACCUCAUAGAUGAAAAAGAAUCAAGACACAAUAAAAACAAAAAAAAAGAAGAAGAAGAACUAAAAAUACAUGGAUGAAACAAAAAAACACAUGGAUGACUAAGAAUCAAACAAAAUUAUAAAAAGAAGAAGAAGAAAAACGCACCUGGAAUUUAAAUUCCGACCGCCUACCCGAUUAGGCGGUCAAAAUUUAUCUACUGCGACCUCCUUAAACCAUUAGACACUUAAAUCAUGCAUUAAUUGUCGAACUGGUUUAUCAGCCGCCUAAAGCAAUUAAGCACUUAGAAUCAACAAUCCGCCAACUAGCUGAUUUGUUUACAAAAUUUUACUAGGUCUCAAAAGAUUCGACUUUAGAUUCAUCGAAUUUUAUAUGAAUGUCCACAACACAGUUUGUAAUAGUAUUUAUAGAGAUGACUUCACUAGUUGAUUCUUCGUAAUUUCGAUGUGGGACAUUUUUAGUUAGAUUUAGAAUCAUUAGUUGAAUAACACUAGAUUAGUGUUGGAUUUCAAUUCUAUUAAAAUCCAUCAUUGAAUAACACCAUCAUAGCUUUUGGAUAUAUAUAUAUAUAUAUAUAUAUACGUUUAAUAAAAACAUUAUCCUCAAUGUCAAUUUCAAACAUUUUUAAUUUCGUAAGAAGUAUUGGAGACGAGUUUGCUGUCAAUGGCAAUGGUACGUAGGCAACCUUCACAAAGAAAGAACCAAUAAACAACCAACUCUCCGGUUGGACUAAACCGGAAAUCCCAAUUUUAUUCAUAUUGUUAAAUCUGGUCUAAUCCUGGUCUUUUUGGUUAAAUAAGUACACGUGACUAUCUAUCCAUAAAAUUUAGUAUAAAUCGAUCCGGCUUUAUAUUGGGUUGGGAUUAAAUUCGUUUUCACUCAACGGUAAGCAGCACAAAAUCAAGUUUAAUCUCAUUUUCAAUUAAAAUUCUUCAUCAAAAGUUAAGUUUUAGUAGCUCAUAGUAAGAGAUUUCAAAUUUGAGCUGAUAGAAGAACCAAAUGAGAUGUCAUUGAAAUUCAGAAACCAUGCAAGUAGCAAAUAAAAAAUAAGAUACAAGAAGCAAAAUCAACAAUGAAACUAGGACGCAAAUUCAGUUUGUCUUUUCAUAAGAAGACCUCACAAUCAAAGGAAGACGACUUUACAUUCGGUAGACCUUCUUAGGAUUUUGAAGAGUUUCUUGACAAAGUCAUCUUGAUUAUGAAUUGCAUUACAAUCAAAACGUAUAGUGAGUUUCUUGAGGAUAGCCGAAUUUUCGAGGAAGUACCUAACUAGCUCCAUAUCUGCAGCAAGUCCCCGUCGCACUUUGCAAUCAACCAACUCGAGAGACGAUAGCAAACACUGAGGCACAUGUGAAAAACUGGACUGAUUCAUCAUCUCUUUUGAGAACAUUUCCCCAUAGUCACCAUCAUAGCAUACCUGAGGAUAGAACGGAAUAUUAAAAUACAAUGAGAAAAGGUACAUAGAAUCUUCAUAGAGAUGAAAUAACUUAUUGGGUUUAGAAGAUCAUCAACAAGAUGAGAGAUUUCAAGUUUGGGAAGCAUUCAAGAAAGGUUGGUAACCAUUUCGAAUGGGAAUAAUAGAGAUCUACUAGUAGGCGGGACAUGUAACCAAACUGAGGCAACGGUUCUAGUUUCAAGCAUUGACAGAGGAGCUGGAACAAGAAAAUAAAAUGAUAUGUAUCAGAAACAAUCAUCAUAGAAAAUGUACAUGUCCAAUACCGGAAUUGACAUAGAUACCUUGAAAGUGUGGAUAUGUAUGAACAUAUACCUGAUCUUUGAAAGCAGUGUGAGAAAACUAUUUCUCGUGGAUAAAAUAUAUGCUUCCAUUACAAACAAAACAGGGCUGAGAUCAAGAUCUAACUUGACAUUGGGAUCCAUAUUGGUUAUUAUAAAGCUUUCUACUAAGUUAUCAUAGAUGCCCAAAAAAUGUAGUCGAGGGGCAUCAAUCAGAAUUCCUGUACCAGACUCACACACAUAUAUCUGUAGACUUAUAGUGAGUCUCUUCAAUGACUUAGAGAGCACCCGAAAGACAGUUGCCUCAAAAAUAACAUGUAUAAUCUCUAACUCUUCAAGGACAGGGGAGGAUGAGACAAGUCUCUCAAAGGUGGCCUCAUAUGGAUAUCUAAUACAGUUUAAACGCAUGAUCUUCAGACAAGGUAAGGAAAAGAACUCGGCAUCAGGCAAGGCCACCAGAUAAAGUUUUAAGGAUACCAGUGUCUCACAGAUAUAAAGGCUUAUGGGCAUCUCAUUAAAAUGAAGUGGAGGUAAAGGAACAUGUAGAUGUUGGACCUUACGCUUAACUGCAUUAUCAAUCCAUGACGUGAUACAAGGUGUAUCAUCAACACCAUCACCAUUUUCAAAAACAGAAAUAGUUACCUCCAGUUUGUUUAUGGAUGAAACCCUAUCAGAAUCGAAAAACGUGUCACCAAAACUCUUGAAGGCAUUGAAAUCAGAGAAAUCUCGGGAAACCAAAUCCAAACGAGGAACCCAAAGCCAGAGACUUGUCCAUCUGGUGGAUAAAACGCUUGUCUUAACCAGGGCCGGCCCAUGGGUAAAGCCCAUGAAGCAAGGGCUUUAGGCAUCAAAUAAUUAUAAGUAGUUUUAGGGGCAUCAAUUUUUAAAAUGUUACUGUGGUCUAGUGGUUAGAUUGAAGUCUUUUGUUGUACAGAUCAUGGUUUCGAAUCUCAUACAUGUUAAAACUUGUAUUUUUUUUUUAUAACAGCUUUUGCUAAUGGGCCAAAUUUUUUUUUGCUUUAGGCACUCAAAUAGUUUGGGCCGGCCCUGGUCUUAACACUCUCCUUUGUGGGAAGAUGAGAAAGAAUCUGACAUAUCAAAGGAUCUGGUAAUUGGCUUAUCUUAUCUUCCAUCAAUCCCUCACACUAAAUCCUUUUGGAACAACUGAACAAGCCUGAUUCGAUUUCCCUCUACCAACCUGCAUACCAAAAUUGAAAGCGAUUUGGAAUUACAAAAACAGAGUUUACGACCAACAUUUAAUCAAACAAAAAAAAAACCUAGCUCACAGAUGAACAACAAAAAAAAAAAGAUUAUCAUAGAUAAGUGCUGAAGACAUGUAUAUGGUGGCAUGAGAGACUGAUUUGGUAAUAAAACUCUCCGUCAGUGGAAUAGUGUGAUAUAAAAACAAAACUACAUUGACAUUAAGUCAGGCUAGGGUUUUCAAAGUCUUCUGACUGAAUAAAAAAAAAAAAAGAGGAUGAAGUAAGAAAAAGAAGAACCUACAGUGUUUUUGCUGAACAGGAUGAAUCACUUGCCGGAACUGUAUCGAAAGGAACACUAUUAGAAGAAGAAGAAGAAAGGACGCAUCGGAAUGGAGUUUAAUAAGCACCGGGAAUGGACGCAUCGAUCCAAGUGCCUUUACCACUGUGAAUGAAUUAAUGGCCCUUGAUUUCGAUCGCCUUUUCCACUCCUUUGUCACACAAUUUCAAGUGCAACCGGCCAAAAAAGUUGUUGAAUAAACCUUCUUUGUUAUUAACGUUUUAAAUUAGCAUGUCCGAUAGGUCAAUUAGUUGAUGAUAUACCGGGCCGGCCCAAACUCUCUGGAUGCUUAAAACAAAAAAAGUUUAGCCCAUUAACAAAAUCUGUCAAAAAAGCAAAAAAUACAAGUUUUAGCAUUUAUGGGGAUUGAAACUAUGACGUGGACAUACCACUAGACCACAGUAACAAAAUAUUGUUCAGACAGACCACUAGACCACAGUAACAUUUUCAAAAAUUGAUGCCCCUAAAACUAGUUAUAAUUAUUGCUGUCUAAAGCCUUUGCUUCAUGGGCUUUAGCCAUGGGCGGCCCUGAUGAUAUACAUAACAAAGUCAAAAACUCAUUUAUAUACACAUACUUUUUUUUUUUGUAGGGAUUUAUAUACACAUACAUGUUUAAGAAAUAAACUUCUUCAAGUUCUUUAUAAGAAAGACAAAUUAUAAACUUCACUGCAUAAAAGACAUCAUGAUUUCUUGCAAAAGUACCUAAAACAGUUUAAUCUCUAUUUCACUCCAAAGAAACACCUACAUUUCUUGUGCAGCAAGAUAUCAGCUGACUAAACCAGUCCAAAGACUUCACAAUCGACGGGGCGUCAUGGGAUGUUCAGGAACAUCUUGAUGAAGACUUAUCUAUAUAAACAUUCCAUUGCGAACUUAGAGUCAGUUUCUUAAUUGCUGAACUCUCCAUAAAGUAACUUACUAGCUUCUCAACUAUUUCUGAAGCAUAUAUCUCCUGAUAUUGUUUUUGAUAUCAACAAACUCCAGCGACGACAAGAAACAGUGAGGCACAGCUGAUAAACUGAUUUGAUUAUAUUCAUCUCCUUAAUAUGAAUCAUCUUACAAUUAUCAAAUACCUGAGGGAAAAAAAAGAGAGGAUAAACAUAUAACGAUAAAAUAUGCAGAAUCUUUUUAGAGAUAUGAAUAAUCAUCACCAAUACGAGGGAUUUUAGAUUCGGGCAGUGCUCAAGAAAAGGUUGCAACCAAUCUAAAUCGGAUACGCAGAGUGUAACUUGUAGGCGAGACAUGUAAUUAUAUUGAGGCAGUGGUUUUACUUUGGAAUAGUGAUGAAUGACCUGAAACCAACUUAAAGUAUUGUGGCUAAGAGAUUUUCAUUAAAGAAAAACACACAUGCAUGUGAAGCAAUACCCUGCAUUGACAAACACAUACCUUGAAAGUGUCUUGACAUAUGAUCAUCCUGAUCUUUGAAACCCGACCUGAAUUAGAAAACAUGUCACCAAAACUUGCAAAGGCAUUAAAAUCUGGCGAUUUUUGGAAUUCAGAUCCACACAAGGAACCGAAAGCCAGAGACUUCUCCAUCUGGUCGAUAAAACGGUUGUCGUAAUAAUGUCCUUUAUGGGAAGAUGAUCAAGUAUGUGAUGUAAUAUCAAGUGAUCAGGUAACUGGCUUAUUCGAUCUUCCUUCAACCUACUACUCAACUCGUUGACACGAGCCUGUUUCGAUUUCCCUCUACAAGCCAUGUGUUAAUACUUAAUUCUGUAGGAGCAAAAAUUGCAACACUACGAAAGAUGAUUGAAAUUUACGAAAUCAUAAACCCAGAAAAUAACAAGUGGAGGCGAGUUAUAAAACUCUUUCCUUAACUCUUUGAAUCACCCAUAGUGCGACGGGAAUCUAAGAUUCAAGAGUCCCAAGAUACAACCACACUAAUCGAUUUCGCAAGCACUCGAAACUCGAUUCUACACGAACAACAACUCUACGAUACUCUCAAAACUUACUCUCAAAACUUGGAGAUUUGAUGGAAUUUUUGAUUUGAUUCUUUGUGUAUAAACGUAUGUUUGUUGCUCUCUUUGUGUAUAAACGUAUGUUUGUUUUUUUCUCUGUUUUCAACACAACAAAACAACAUUUAUAGAAGAAUGAAUUUUGUUGCCUUCAACCAAUUCCACAACAAAUUCUAAUCAAAUCAUUAGUGGGAGUGAGUGAUUAAAACUCCACCAUUCCAUGGUUUUAGGCUUUGCCCACCCUACCACCAUUAGUGAUACUAGGCUUUGCCCACCCCACCAUUUCUCUUCACCAUUUCUUAUUUUACUAAGCCUAUUUGGCUUUAGUGAAAAUAAGUCCAACAAAUUCUUCUGUAUAAAAUAUUCAAAAAUGAAAACUUAAAGUUCCAGAUGCCAAGUUAAUAGGGCACACAUAUGCUUGCAACCAACACUUUCGGUUCAAGUUCCAGUGAAAAGAAAUAAUUCAAAAUCCAUAAAUUAACAUCAACAUUCGCAACAUGACGAAGAAGACUCAUCAUGUUAUAUGAAAAAAGUAAUUACAGUGAUAGAGAGACAACAAACCACAUUGAGACAAAUUAGGGUUAGGGUUUCAAGGUGUUAUGAAGAUGACUUUUCACCCAAGAAAAAGGUAAAGUAAGAAGAAGAAGAACCUACAGUGUUUCAGCCAAACAGGAUGAAAUCACUUACCGGAACUGUAGAUCGUGAUCUCACCUAUCGGAAUGGAAUCACUUGCUAGAAAUUUUAAAUCACUUGCCGAACUCUAUGAAGCCUCGAGUCAGUAGUUAUGUUCUGCGGUAUAUAUAAUGUGUUUAUAACACAAAAGCCCAACAUUCCAACUCAAUAUGGGUUAAAAUUGUUUUCUAUAUGGGCCGUAAUGAAAUGUGUUAUUAGCUAAGAGGACUAAGAAGAUCAGAAUUAUACUUGCAAAAUUUCAUUGCCAUCUUUGCUCCUAUAUUCUUUCUAUGGAUGGAUUCGUGGCGGAGACGGACCUGGAGUUGAAGCUCAAAUCACUCAUCCGUAUCCCUCAUAACUCCAAAUAAUCUCUCAAAACGACAAUGCCUGUUCGUAUUCCGGAUUCGGGUUGGGAUUCUGUUUCGAAGUUUAUAUAUCACUCAUCUUAAUGGAUUUGGAUUCACAGCCGAAUCCCAAGUCAGAGCUUAUGUCACCCACUACUCAAACAAUAUCUCACUUAACGUAUUUUGUUAGCCUCCAGGAUGAUCAUCUAUGAAUGGAGUCAGAUCAUACACCUAAACUCAAAGUUCAAGAACCAAACAUUAAUGGACAGUAGAUCAACCUCAAGAACGCAACAAUCACAUAUCAUAAUCAAGUAGACACAAACUCUGUUUCUCCAGUGUGAAUCAACAUAGAAUCAACUAAAUCUACAUCAAAAACAGCAAAGAUUGUGUUUUAGGGCUCGAUAAAAGCUUCUAGCAGUAACACUUCAACUCUACAACUUAAAAUUUGAAGCUUACAAACCAAUGGCGCAAGAAGAACUAAGUUCGUGUAAAAUCCAUAUAAAAACAGAGAUUUUCUCAAGCAAAGAGACAAGAUCCAACCUUGCCGGAAUAAUAAGCCAACAAUCCUUAGGAUAUUCGCAGCUUAUGUCACUCACUACUCAAAUAAUAUCUCUUGUCAGUUCUAUGGAAUUGGAUUCCCAGCCGAAGCCGCUGCAAGCACUGAUACCACUCAUUACUCAAAAAAUCAAACUAACUUCAUUGCUUAACUUGUUUAUAAACAACAUUACUUAGAUAUUUUAACCAGCCAAAAGAGGGUAGAUUAGCAACCUUAAUAGUCUCUAAUAGUUUCUUGCAAACAUGGCUAACAAUUUUCAUCCGUAUCUCUACUCCAAAAGAAACAUAAACAAAAGACUACACCUGCAUUUCUUGUGAGGUAAGAACUUAAGCUUCACAUGUUCUCUCUCUAGCCUUUUACAUAUCAAUAUAUGACGACUUUGCAUUUGGUAGAGCGUCUUGGGAGGUCCAGGAGAGUCUUUAUGAUGUGCUUUUCAUCUGUACAAUAGUAAUUCAAACGUACAGUCAGUUUCUUGAGGAUUGUUGAAUUCAUUAGUAAGAACAUUACUAGCUGAAGUUCUGCAGCAUGUCCUGAGAUGCCUGUUUUGAUAUCAACAAACUCAAGCGACGACAACAGACACUCUGACACAGUGGAAUAAUUGAAUUUACGCAGCUCUUUGAAAUACAUCUUCUUAGAGUUAGUAUUCCAUACCUGAAGAAGACAAAGAGAGGAGAGAAGGUAAUGAAAAGAUAGGCAAAACCUUCCACAGAUAUGAGAAAUAGGGUUAGGCAGAUCCUCACCAAGAUAAGGGAUUUCAAGUUUGAGAAGCUCCCAAGAAAGGUUGGUAACCAUUUCAUAUCAGAUACACGAAAAGUAACACGCAGGGUGGACAUGUUACCAAACUGAGGCAACGGUUCUAUUUUCGAGUAUUGACAGAUAAGCUGGAACCAAAAAUAAAAAUAAUGUAGCUUAGAAGCUUUCAUGAUAGAAAAUGUAAAUGUCAUAUAAAACCGGAAUGGUCAUAUAUACCUUGAAAGUGUCUCUACAUAAAGUCAUGUCCCUGACCUUGGAAAUCCCGUGUAGAAAACUGCGGAUGGUACUUCUCCUCGAUGAAAUGCUUGCUUCAUCAAUAACAUCCAAACCAAAAGAGAGAGAGAUAUCUACCUUGGCAUUGGAAUCCACAUCGUUUAUUAUAAAACCCUCUGAUAAUUUAUCAUUGAUUCUCAAAAAGCAUAGUCGAGGAGCAUCAAUCACAAACCCCGAACCAAAACCCUGAUCAUCUUUGCGUGUUUUUAUUGUAAGCUUCUUUAAUGACCUAGAGAGCACUCGAAAGACUUUUGCAUUAUCAUUCACACACCCGGAAAUCUUUAACUCUUCCAAGACAGGGCAGCAAGUGACAAGUCUCUCAAAAUUGGCCUCUUUGCCAUACAACAUAUAUUUCAAAUGCAGAGUCUUCAGACAAGGUAAGGAAACAAACUCGACACCAUCCAAGGUUACAUGAAAGAGUUUCAAGGAGACCAGUGUCUUACAGGUAUAAAGCCUUAGGGGCAUCUUAAAAGAACAGGGAGGAAACCAAGCAUCUAGAUGUUGGAUCUUACGGUUUAUGGCAGCAUCAAACCAUGGCGUGAGAUAAGAGGGAACAUCAUCUACACCUUUCCUUAAUCCAGUAUCACCAAUAAAUAACUUAACUUCUAGUAUGCAUGAAACCCUAUUGGAAUCGAAAAACUUGUCACCAAAACUCUUAAAGUCAUUGAACUUUGGGAGGUGCCAACAUGCCAAAUCAAAACUAGGAACACAAAGCCAGAGACUUCUCCAUCUGGUGGAUAAAACGCUUGUCUUCACAGUUUCCUUUGAGGGAAGAUGAGAAAGAAUGUGACAAAUCAAAGGAUCAGGUAACUGGCUUAUCCUAUCUUCCUUCAACCUCUGAUUCAACCCUUUGGAACAAGCCAUCAAUUUUUCUGUUUUCAGACAAAGAAAUCUAUAAGAAAUGAUAAAAAUUUCAGACAUAAAUUGCAACUAACACUAAUCCUUCAGUACAACUUCCAGUGACGAAUAAAGAAGAAGAGUGUGAGAGAGAAAAACUAAACCACAUUGAUUCAGGCUAGGGUUUUUCAAGGUCUAAUGAAACUGAUAAUAGAAAGACAAAAAGAGUAAAGAAGAAGAAGAAGAACAUAGUGUCCCUUAUGCUACAUCCAAUAUAAAAGAAGAAGAACCUACAGCGUUUAGGCCGAAAUGCAAUCACUUGCCGGAACUUUACGUCGUGAUUUUCGCCGACGGGAAUCUGGAAAUUGGGAAGCACGGACCUACCACUGCAGACUUCUCUAUAAGAGUAGUUAUGUCCAAAUUGGGUAAUAGAAUGAGUGUUUGUUUGUUACACAAAAGCCCAACAAUCAAACAUAGCCCACUAAAUCUGGGUUAACAUAAUUGACAUCUCUAUACAUUUCAAUGCAUUUUUUGUUUUUCUCCAGGAUUGGUGAAUUCUUCAGGAAGUAUCAAAUCUGCAGUCUCUGUAACCAAGACCGCACACUUUCAGAUUUAGACGCUGAAGCUAUGGCCAUGAAAACAGAGAGCUACCUUCGGGGUAGGUUUUCUUAUGAAGUUUACCUGUGAACCCUGCUUGUAUUUUCCUACUUUUACAUGAUGACUGGUUAUAUUUCAAUUCCUAUUAAAGAAAUUUGAUGUUUAAAAUAAACAAUCAAACAAAAUAAGGCAGCAAACACAAAAGAACAUACAGAGUAAGUAACAGCAUUGCUUAACUUGUUUAUAAACAACCUUCCUUAGAUAUUUUGAGAGCCAAAAGAGGCCAGAUUAGCAACCUUAAUUAAUAGUACUCACUCCGUUUUCGAAUAGUUGUCGUUUUAACUAUAUGCACAAAAAUUAAGAAACUAUUAAUGUUGUUAGUUUUUCAAUAUAAAAAUAUCAUUAAUUAUUUACCUAAACAUAAUUUAACCAAUAGUAAAUCAAGUUGCAUAAUAAAAAUAAAUAUAAAAAAUGAAAAAGUAAUAAAUUUUGCAUCGAAAACUGAAAACGACAACUAAUUAAAAACAAAAAAAUUUCUCUAAAACGACAACUAUUCGAAAACGAAGAGAGUAAUAUAGUAUCUAGAGACGGGCGAGUGACUUAAUAGUCCGCUACCCAAAACAACACUGGCCGAUUCUAAACAAAAGACUACACCUGCAUUUCUUGUGCGGUAAGAGCUUAAGCUGCAGAUUUUCUCUCUCUAGUCUUAACAUGAUCAAUAUAUGACGACUUGACAUGUGGUAGAGCGUCUUGGGAAUUUCAGGACGUCCUUGACGAAGAGCUUUUCAUUUGUACAGUAAUAAUUCAAACGUAGAGUUAGCUUCUUGAGGAUUGUCGAAUUCGCUAGGAAGUACAUUACUAGCUUCUGUUCUCCAUGAUGUCCCGAGAUGCCAGUUUUAAAAUCAACAAACUCAAGCGAUGAUAACAAACACUCUGGAACAGCGGAAAAGUUGAAUUGGCGCAGCUCUUCGUGAUACAUCUUCUUAGAGUUACUAUUCCAUACCUGAAGAAAAAUGAGAGGAGAGAAAAUAAUGAAAAGAUAGACAACAUCUUUCACAGAGAUGAGAAAUAGGAUUAAGCAGAUCAUCACCAAGAUGAGGGAUUUCAAGUUUGGGCAGCUCUCAAGAAAGGUUGGUAACAUAUUUAAAUCAGAUACAUGAAGAGUAACACGCAGGCGGGACAUGUAACCAAAUUGUGGCAGCGGUUCUUUUUUCAAGUAUUCACAUAUGAGCUGCAACCAUAAAACAAAAGUAUUGUGGGUCAAAAACUUUUAUAAUAGAAAAUGUAUAUGUCCAAUACCAGAAUUAUCAUAUAUAUACCUUGAAAACGUCUUGACAUAUGGUCAAAUCUCUGACCUUGGAAAUCCCAGGGAGAAAACUGUGGAUACUACUACUACUCCUCAAUGAAAUGUUUGCUUCAUUAACAUCGUCCAAACCAAAGGGGAGAGAGAUAUCUACCUUCGCCUUGGAACAAUCAACAUCGUCCAAUAGAUAACUCUCUAUUUUAUCACUGAUGCUCAAAAAGCGUAUUCGAGGAGCAUCAAUCACAAAUCUGAAACCAAAAUCCUCUUCAUCAUUUAUUAUCUGUAUACAGAGCUUCUUCAAUGACCUAGAGAGCACCCGAAAGAGAUUUAAUUCCCAUACUCGGAUACGACAAUCUUUAACUUUUCCAAGAUGGGACAGCAAGAUACAAGCCUCUCAAAACUGGCCUCUUCGCGAUAAUAGAUAUAUUUCAAAUGCAGAGUCUUCAGGCAAGGUAAGGAAACAAACUCGACAUCAUCCAAGAUCACCUCAUAGAGUUUUAAAGAUACUAGUGUCUCACAGGUAUAAAGCCUUAUGGACAUUUCAUUUGAAUUACCGGGAGAACAACAAAGAUUUAGAUGCUGGAUCUUACGCUUAACUGCAGCAUCAGUCCAUGACAUGAGAUAAGAGGGAUCAAUUCAUCAUCUACAUCUUCCUUAAACAUAGUUUCAUCAAUAGUUAAUUUGACUUUGUUUAUGAAUGAAGCCCUAGUGGAAUCGAAAAACAUGUCGCCAAAACUCCUAAAGGCAUUGGAAUCUGGGAAGUCCCAAUGUGCCAAUUCCAAACAAGGAACCCAAAGCCAGAGGCUUGUCCAUCUGGUGGAUAAAACGCUUGUCUUAACACUGUCCUUUGUGGGAAGAUGAGAAAGAAUCUGACAGAUCAAAGGAUCUGGUAAUUGGCUUAUCCUAUCUUCCUUCAAUCUCUCACUAAACCCUUUGAAGGAACAAGCCUGUUUCGAUUUCCCUCUAUCAACCAUUGUCUUUUCUUCUGUAGAAAAAUUUUCAGGACAACAAAAUCUGCAAACAGAAAAAUGAAAAUGCAAGUUGCAGAGAAAUAAUUUUGAUGAAAUUGCAUUGAGAGAAGCGCUUAGUCAGGGUUAGGGUUUUCAAAUUCUUAUGAAAUUUAGUAUAUAAAAAAAAAAAGUAAAGUAAGAAGAAGAAGAUUAACAUACAGUGUUUUAGCCGGCGGAAUGCAAUCACACGCCGGAACUGUAGACAGUAAUUUCGCCGACGGGAACGGAAACACUUGCUUGGAAAUUUGGAAUCACUUGCCGGUACUCUCUCUACUCUCUACUGAACAUUUCUCUCAAAGACUGUAGUUAAGCAAAAGCCCAAUAAUCCAACAUGGCCCAUUAAAUGUAAAGAGUUUUUGUUUGUCGACAUUUUUAGACGUACUAGUACUACUAUAUGAAUACUCAUCGUACUAGCCUACUAGGAGAUGCAUAAACAAACAUACCUUUUCCAAGACUCUCAAACAUUUUACAAGUCUUGAUGUUACGAUUACAAAUUCACAAAUCUAGAGUACUGAGUUUUUUUUUUAUAUCUAAUUUGGCAGUAGAAUCCAACUUCGAGCAGCUUCUUGCUAAUUGACAAUUCAUAAACAAGCCAACAGCAAAAUAACAUAUAUAUAUAUAUAUAUAUAUAUAUAUAUAUAUAUAUAUAUAUAGAGAGAGAGAGAGACCUAAUUACUGCUACUGUGCUAGUCUGCUAGAGCAAGUUGUGGAAGUAUCCAUCAAAUUCGAAAUAAAGUUGGUCAUUGGUGGUUAUUACAUGAGUAGCAUAAGAAAGACUUAAAACUUCAAUAUUUGCUUGUGGCUCAAAGCCUAAUAUAGCCUCCUAAAAUCAACUAAUUUAACGACCAAAAGAUUUAACCUUAAACGAAAUGUUCAGCAAAGUAAUCAAAGAACAAGGACUUCACAAGCGCUAGAGCAUCUUGGCAUUGCAACGAGUUCUUUAAGGAAGUCACUCAUCGCCUUUUUUGAAUAGUAAAUAUUGAGCCUUAAUUUCUCCAGCAUUAUCGAAUUCUUCAGCAAGUAUCUUAUUAGCUCUGUUUCUCCUUCAUACGCUGAGAUCGAACGUUUCAACUCCACAAACUUGAGCGAUAACACCAAACACUGAGGCACUGUUGAAAACAUCACCAUUGGUUCUUUCUUCUUUUUACCACGCAUGAAUUGGUCCGUAACCAAUUCCUGCAAAAACAGAAGAAAACAAAUAUAGAAGAGAACAUAUUGAUUAGAGAAAUUUACACAACAAAUCUUCAUCAAUCAAAUGGUUAAAGUUAUUCAUUACCAAUAUGAAAGAUUCUAGUUUUGGGCAGCUCUCAAGAAGGGUUGGCAACAUUUCAAGAUUAGAUUUAGAAAAUUUAACAUUCAAGCGGGAUAGGUCACGAAACUGAAGCACUGGUCGCGAUUUCGAGUAUUGAAAGAUUUCCUGGAGACAGAAGUAAACAAGUAAAAAGGAAUGUAAUGGUGAGAAACUUUUGUCGAAUAUAUAUAUAUGCUCAAACGUUGCGAAGUAUACCUUCCAAAAAAUAGCAUUCCUAAUAACUAGCUCCCUGACCCUCGAUAUAUCGGUGAGGAUGUCAGGAAUCAUGCUACUGUAUGUCAUAUGGCAAUAGGGGAAAACAAUAUAUAGUUUGGCAGAGAAACCCAAAUUGACGAUCUGAAAAUUCUUUGUUGAGGAGACCGUAGCCGUCAAACACUGGAGUAGAGGUGCAUCAAUUACAACUUGGGUGUCCUCACAUAUUUCGAUUCUCUUUAGCGUAUGAGAGCGCACUUGUAAAACAUUUGCCUCGUCAUCAUCCGAAGAUCUUAUGAUGGUUAAAUCUUCCAGAACUGGAGAGCCUGAAACAAGUUUCUGCAACGUGGCCUCGUUGGGGUAUCUAUUAUGUAGUAAAUGCAUGAUCUUGAGACAAGGCAAGGAAACAAAGUCAGCAUUAGACAAGGUGACCUCACAGAGUCGUAAGUGUACCAGUGUCUCACAGGUAUAUAAACUCAGGGGUAUCUCAUCACCGCAAAAAUAACUAACAUCAAGAUGCUGCAUCCUACUCGUAGUCACAGCAUCAAUCCAUGACGAGAGAUCAAGUCUACCAUCAUGAUCACCAAAAUCUAACCAGAGUUUGCGUAUCCAUGACUCCCUGUGGGAAUCUAAAAACCUUUCAACAAAACUCACAAAGGCAUCGAAAUUUGAGAAUUCGAUGGGUUCCAAGUCCAGUCCAGGAACCGAUUGCCAAAGGUAUCUCCAUUUGGUGGACAAAACACUUGUUCUUACAGCGUCCUUGGUAGAAAGAUGAUAAAGUAUUUCAGAUAUCAAAUGUUCCGGUAACUGGCUUAACCUAUCUUCCUCAUCUGAGCCUUUUUCGUCACAUAUUUUGGGUUUCUUCUUUCGACCCAUUAUUUCUCUAUCUUAACACAACCAAUCUGCAUCAUCAAAUUUAAGAAAAAAAAAAAACAAGUAAAAAUUGAAGUUUACAGAGACAACCAACUAAUUUCGAAUCAGACUAAUAUAGAUAUGCGUAGAAAGCUCGGAGACAGAUGAAUUGCGACAAAACCUAGUCAUAAUUCUCACAAUGAACCAGAUGCGAGGGCUUGUUAGGUUAGGGUUUCUGAAGAUAACUAGACAUCAAGGAAAAAUAUAAGAAGAAGAGAGAAGAAGGGACGCACCAGAAUGGAGUUGAAUUACCUCGGCAGAUCAAACCUAUUCGUCUUCCUUCACGGCCUCAUGUCGAAGAAGAUGCUUCACUGUGAAUUAGUGGCGUUACAGUGGCUUUUGGGAAGAGGAUUCGUGUACAUUUGACUACAGACGCCUUACCGUUUUAUCUCUUAUGACAAACGCCUUGCCGUUUUAUCUCUUACUACAAACGCCUUGCCGUUUUGUCUCUCCGUUUGAAUACUGAACCAAUAAACAACCAAACCGGAAAUACCCACUUUUGUUCAGAUAAGUGCUUUUUUUUUAUUUUUUUGGUAUAAGCGCGAUACUAAGUGCUUUGUUCAUCGAUUAUCAUCACUAACACAUUAAAGCAUGCAUUUGUUCAUCGAUUCUCAUUCUCUUUCUACUAGUACUAGGAGAAGCAUAAAUAUACCAUUUGCAAGCCUCUCAAACAGUUUCGAUUACAUGGAGACAAAUGUUAUAUUUAUUGAAAAAAUGAAGAAGAUGCAUGCAGUCUCUUGACAAUUUCCGAAUGUUACCUAACUAGUUUCAUUACUGUGACAUAUCUUGAGAUUAAGUAACUCUCAUUAUAGGAACUGCAUUGAUCUAAUGAGUGCUUGAACAAUUUGUGGAGAUAUCCUGCAAUAUGACAAUUCUUUAACUAGCCAACAUCUACCAAAAGAACAUAUACAUCAAAAGACCUAAUUAGUGCUUGAACAAUUUGUGGAGAUAUCCAUCAAAUUCAAGAUAAAGCUGAUAAUGAUUAUAAGUAGCAACCACCAAGUAACAUAAGAAAGACUUAAACUGCAAUAUUUGGUUGUGGCUCAAAGCCUAAAAUAGCCUCCUAAUAUCAACUAAUUUAACGACCAAAAAGAUCAACCUUCAACGAAAUGUUCAACCAUAUUUAUUUCUAGGAAUUAAAGAAACAUGGAUUUCACAAACGCUAGAGCAUCUUGGCAUCGUAAGGAGUUCUUGAAGGAAGGCACACUUGGCUUUUUCGGUAUAGUAAGCUUCAAGCCUAAAUUUCUCCAAGAUUUUUGAAUUCUUCAAGAAGUAUCUUACUAGCUCUAUUUCUCCUUCAUACCCUGAGAGCGCACGUGUCCAUUCCACAAACUUGAGCGAUGAUACCAAACAUUGAGGCACUGUUGAAAACAUCAACUUUGGUUCUUUCUUCUUCUUACCACUCAUGCAGCUGUCCUUAACCAAUUUCUGCAAAAACAGAAGAAAACAAAUUGAGUAGAGAAAUAUACAUAACAGAUAGAUUUUCACAAACCUUAUGCAUAAAUCAGUUUCAGCUCUCAUUACCAGUAUGAGAGAUUCUAGUUUUGGGCAGCUCUCAAGAAGGGUUGGCAAAAUUUCCAGAUGAGUUUCAGAAAAUUUAGCAUUCAAGCAGGAUAGGUAACGAAACUGAUGCAUCGGUCCCGAUUUCGAGUAUUGAAAAAUUUCCUGGUAACAGAAGUAAACAAGUAAAAAGGAAUGUUAUGGUGAGAAACUUUCGCAAGAAUAUUCAUAUAUAUAUAUUCUCAAAAGUUGAGAUGUAUACCUCCCAAAAAAUAGCAUUCCUAAUAACUAGCUCCCUGACCCUCAAUAUAUCAGUCAGGAUGUCAUGAAUCAUGCUGCUACUGUAUGUCACAUCGUUAUAGGCGAAACUAAUAUCUAGUUUGGCAGAGGAACCCAAAUUGACGAUCUGAAAGUUUUUUGGUGAGGAGACCGUAGCCCUCAAACACUGGAGUAGAGGUGCAUCAAUUACAACUUGGAUGCCAUCAUUUAUAUAGACUCUCUUCAGCAUAUGAGAGCGCACUUGUAAAACCUCUGCAUUAUCUAUUGGAUAUCUGAUGAUGGUUAAAUCUUCCAGAACUGGAGAGCCUGAGAUAAGUUUCUGCAACGUGGUCUCAUUGGGAAAUCUAUUAUGCCGUAGAUGCAUGAUCUUCAGACAAGGUAAGGAAACAAACUCAGUAUUACACAAGGUGACCUCACUGAGUCGUAAGUCUACCAGUGUCUCACAUGUAUAUAUGCUCAGGGGUAUCUCACCACCAUGGAAAGAACUAACAUCAAGAUGCUGAAUCCUACGCCUAGUCACAGCAUCAAUCCAUGACGUGAGAUCACACAUACCAUGACGAAAAUAACCAAAACUUAACCGGAGUUUGCGUAUCCAUGAUUCCCUGUGGGAAUCAAAAAACUUUUCAACAAAACUCACAUAGGCAUCGAAAUCUGAGAAUGCGUAAGGGUCUAAGUCCAAUCCAGGAACCCAUCGCCAAAAAUUCCUCCAUUUGGUAGACAAAGCGCUUGUUCUUACAGCAUCCUUAGUAGAAAGAUGACAAAGAAUUUCGGAUAUCAAAGGUUCUGGUAACUGGCUUAUCCUAUCUUCUUCAUGUAACUGGCUUAUCCUAUCUUCUUUGUCACAUAUUUUGGGUUUCUUCUUUCUACCCACCAUUUCUCUUUUCUUCGGACAACUAAUCUGCAUCAUCAAAUUAAAGAAAAAACUAAAUAAAAAUCGAAGGGUAGAGAAACAAACAACUAAUUUCGAAUCAGACUAUGAUAAGCCACUGAAUGUGUAUACAAGAAAGCAGAGAAAGCCACACAUGUGAGAGAAAAAGCUUGAAGAAACUAAAGCUAAUAAUGAUUCCUAUAUAAGAAUAGUUUUCUCAUUUGUUAGGCUUUAUGCAUUGUUUGAUGAAUGUACAGUGCUUGUGAGAGAGAGUUGAUGAAUCGAUGAUGCGCCGGUGGCUCAAUCUCUUAUGAAACAGUGUAUCGGAGGUUAAGAAAUAGAGACUACGUUUCUUAUUCUUAACAGACUAAUACAGAUAUGCCUAGAAAGCUCGGAGACAGAUGAACUGCGACAAAAACAACCUAGUCAAAAUUCUCAAAUGAAGCAAAUGAAAGCCAUACAUCAAUACUCCAGAACACUCAAAACAGAAACAAACCAACAAAUUUCGAAUGAAAUACAAGAUACGGACACACUGUAGCUUGCAUUCAAACAAUCUGGAUAAGUAGAAAGUUCGGACAAAACACAUACGAGGGCUUGUCAGGUUUAGCGUUUUCAAUGUUUCUGAAAAUGACUAGAAGAAAUCAAGGAAAAGUAUAAGAAUUGAAGAAGAAGAAGAACGCAACAGAAUGGAAUUUGACUACCUUGGCAGAUCAAACCUAUUCGUCUUCCUUCACGGUCUCUUGUCGAAGAUGAUGAUUUCUCGCAUUAGACCACUCUCUAAUUAAUGGCGUUCCAGUAGCUCUUUCUUACCGCUCCUUUGACACAAACGGCUUGCCGUUUUAUCUCUUACUACAAACGCCUUGCCGUUUUUAUCUCUCCGUUUGAACCAAUAUACAUUGGACCAAACCGGAAAUACCCACUUUAGCAUAUCUUUCAUCUUUAGUUCUUUUAUUUAUUUUUUUGCUAAAUUUUCUGAUUUGAAUAUACCAUUUGCAAGAUGGACUGGUGACAGAAAAAGAAAAUGAUGUUUGUUACAUUUUACCAAAAAAAAGAAGAAGAUGCAUGCAGUUACAAAUUCAAGAAGACAAGAACCCAAGGUUAUCGUCUUACUAGCUUCAUUUCUGCAUUUUGACAUAGAAACCUUGAAAGCGAUUUGAUGUAUGAUCAUUUCCUGUGACCUUUGGAAUUCAUCUUCUUCAUUAUAAAACUUAUGCCUUAAUUUGCUUCCUCCAAAUUGGAACAGCUUCCUCCAAAUUGACAAUUCUUAAAUUAGUGCUUGAGUAUAUUGCGCAACUAUCCAUAAAAUUCGAAACAGAGUUGGUAAUUGGUGGUUAUUACAUGAGCAGCAACCACCAAGUAACCGUAGGAAAGACUUAAAUAUAACCUCCUACAUUGGAAUCCAUAUCGCUUAGGCUUUAGUAUAGAAAUCUCUGAUAAUUUCUCAUUGAUGCUCUAAAAAGUGUAGUCGAGGAGCAUCAAUUCAAAAUCCUGGUCACCUUCUUGUAAUUUUAUACAGAGCUUCUUCAAUGACCUAGAGAGCACCUGAAAGACUUUUACUUUCUCAUACACGCAUCUAAGACCAUCUCCAAUGGCAGUUUCUCAAAGAGUGUCUAGAAAUUAAAAAAGUAAAAAGUAAUGAAAAAGGUGGAAAGAGAACCAGACAUGUUUCUCAUAUGAGAAAUUCUGAGACACCCAUUUUAAUAGUUGGGUUUAUAUGAUUGGCCAGAUUUUCUUUUCUAUAAUUUAAAAUUUAAGUAAAUAAUUUAUUUAUUAUUAAAUGAAUAAAAUAAUAUAAUUGAGAAACUCCCAUCAGUUUUUUUGGUUGGAGAUGCUCUAAAUAAUCUUUAACUUUUCCUAGACAGGACAACAAGAGAUAAUAAGUCUCUCAAAAAUUGCCAUACCAGCUAUAUUUUAAGUGCAAAAUCUUCAGACAAGGUAACGAAACAAAAUCGACAUCAUCCAAGUUCACUUCAAAGAAUUUUACUAUUAAGCUUUCUGAUUCCCGAUCAUUGAUUCUCAAACAACACAAUACAAGAGCAUCAAUCACAACUCCCGGAACAGAAUCAAACGGUAGAGAAGAACUUCGUAGUAAACGGAGCCUCUUCAGUGACCGAGAGUGCACCCGAAAGACUUUCCAUCAGUCCAUACCACGUCAAUCUUUAAGUCUUCAAGGACAGGGCAGGAUGAAACAAGUCUCUCAAAAUUGGCCUCAUUUGGAUACACAAUAUCCAUUAAAUGCAGGAUCUUUAGACAAGGUCAGCAUCGAGAGUUUUAGAGAUACCAAUGUCUCACAGAUAUAAAUGCUUAGGGGCAUCUCAUGAAAAAAGUCCCUUGACUUUGCCAAACAUAGAGACGUUGUAUCUUACGCUCAACUAAGUGUGAGAUAAGAUGCAUCAUUUUCAUCAAGAAAUAACUUGAGAUUGUAUAUGCAUGAAGCACUAUUGGAAUCGAAAAAUCUGUCACCAAAACUCUUAAAGGCAUUGAAAUUUGGGAGGCGCCGCCAUGACAAUUUCAAACAAAGGAACCCAAAGCCAGAGACUACUCCAUCUGGGGGAUAAAACGCUUGUCUUAACAGCUUCCAAAUAAGUAAAGCAUAGCUUAACUUGUUUAUAAACAACGUUCCUUAGAUAUUUUGACGAGCCAACCAAAGGGGGUAGUUUGGCAACCUUUAUAAACCACAUAGAGACUAAGAAGUUAGGCUAGGGUUUUUCAAACUCUUAGUGAACAUGGCCCGCUAAAUCUGGGUUAAAUUGACAUGUCUAAAAAAGUCUCAAACAAUUCCAUGGCUCCAAAAGUCAAAUAUCCUUCAACAAAAAAAAAAAACUUUAACAACCAAAAAAGGUUAACAUUCGACUAAAAAUAUUCAGCAAUAUCUUUUAGUAAUUAAAGAACAAGGACUUCACAACCGGUAGAGUAUCUUGGCAUCUCAACGAGUUCUUGAAGGAAGUCACCCUUUGCCCUUUUGGAAUAGUGAAGAUCAAGCCUUAGUUUCUUCAGCAUUGUUGAAUUCUUCAGCAAGUAUCUUAUUAGCUCUCUUUCUCCUUCAUACCCCGAGAUCGAACGUUUCAGUUCCACAAACUUUAGCGAUGAUACCAAACACUGAGGCACUGCUGAAAACACCACCUUUGGAUCUUUCUUCUUCUCACGACGCAUGUAUAGUUCCUUGACCAAUUCCUGCAAAAACAGAGGAAACGAAAUUGAGUAAACAGCUACAUAAAAAGCUUUCCCAGAAAAAAGAAAAAAAGCUUUCACAGACAUAUGUGUAGCGUAAAUCAGAGCUAUAUUUCAUUACCAAUGUGAGAGAUCCUAGUUUUGGGCAGCUCUCAAGAAUGAGUGGCAAUAAUUCAAGAUCAGUUUUAGUAAAUCUAGCAUUCAAGCUGGAUAGGUUUCGAAACUGUUGCACCGGUCCCGAUUUCGAGUAUAGAAAGAUAUCCUGGUAACAUAAGUAAACACAUAAAAAUGUUAUGGUAAGAAACUUUCUUGGAAAAACUUUUCUUUUAUAUAUAAUAUACUCAAACGUUUGAAUUUAUACCUUCCAAAUACCAUUACUAAUUACUAGCUCCCUCACUCUGGAUAUAUCGGUGAUGAGGUCAUGAAUCAUGCUACUAUUGUAUGUCCUAUGGCUUAGGUAGACAACAUCAAUAUCUAGUUUGGUAGAGGAUCCCAAAUUGAUGAUCUCAAAGUUCUUUGUUCUGCAAAUCAUAGUCCUUAAGCACUCAAGUAAAGGAGCAUUAAUCACAACUCCAAAUUGAUCAAUGUGGAUUCUCUUUAACGUUUUAGAGCGCACUUGUAAAACCUUUGCAUUAUAUGCUGGAUAUCUUUUGAUGGUCAAAUCCUCUAGAACUGGUGAGCCUGAGAUAAGAUUCUCCAAAGUGGACUCAUUGGGAUAUCUAACUUGAUCUAAAAGGAGGAUCUUUAGACAAGGUAUGGGAACAAACUCGGCAUUAACUAAGGUGGCUCCAUAGAGUCGUAAGUGCACCAGUGUCUCACAGGUAUAUAACCUCAAGGGUGGUAUCUUAUCAGGUUGAUAAGUGAGAUCGAAACUAAGAUCGAUAUGCUGAAUCCUACGCCUAGCCACAGCAUCAAUCCAUGAUGAGAUAUCACACAUACCAUGAUGAUGACCAAUAGAAAAAUGGAGUUUGCGUAUCGAUGACUCAUUGUCUGAAUAAAUAAACCUAUCAACAAAACUCACAAAUUUAUAAAAAUUUGAGAAUGCAUAGGGGUUUAAGUCCAAUCCAGGAACCCGUUGCCAAAGAUAUCUCCAUUUGGUGGACAAAACACUUGUUCUUACAGCGUCCUUGGUAGAGAGAUGAAAAAGUAUUUCAUAAAUCAAAUGUUCAGGUAACUGGCUUAUCCUAUCUUCCAACGUUGAGACGUUGUCACAUAUUUUGGUUUUCUUCUUUCUACCCACCAUUUCUCUUUCUUCACACAACUAUAAUCUACAUUUUAAAAAUGGAAGUUUCAGAACUAAUCAUCUAAGUUCGAAGAGAUACGGACACAUAGCUUGCAUCAAACUAAUUAAGAGAUACAAACACAUGUAAAUUACGACCAGCCCUAAUCCAAAUUUCAAUCAAGUAGUCUAGUGAAAGAGAAGACCUAAAAGCACAUGGAUGAUUAAGCAACUAUUAAAAAAGAAGAAGAAGAAUAACUAAAACCUCAUAGAUGAAAAAGAAUCAAGACACAAUAAAAACAAAAAAAAAGAAGAAGAAGAACUAAAAAUACAUGGAUGAAACAAAAAAACACAUGGAUGACUAAGAAUCAAACAAAAUUAUAAAAAGAAGAAGAAGAAAAACGCACCUGGAAUUUAAAUUCCGACCGCCUACCCGAUUAGGCGGUCAAAAUUUAUCUACUGCGACCUCCUUAAACCAUUAGACACUUAAAUCAUGCAUUAAUUGUCGAACUGGUUUAUCAGCCGCCUAAAGCAAUUAAGCACUUAGAAUCAACAAUCCGCCAACUAGCUGAUUUGUUUACAAAAUUUUACUAGGUCUCAAAAGAUUCGACUUUAGAUUCAUCGAAUUUUAUAUGAAUGUCAACAACACAGUUGUAAUAAUAUUUAUAGAGAUGACUUCACUAGUUGAUUCUUCGUAAUUUCGAUGUGGGACAUUUUUAGUUUUGUAAAAAUUAUUUAUUUACUACCACAAAAUUUUAAAUAAAUAUCUCUUAUAUGUGAAGCUAAGAAGAUUCCACGUCGAUAUGGGACUUCAUAAAAAAUAUUUAUUUACUCUCAUAAAAUUUUAGGGGGUGUUAUUCAAUCAUGGAGUUAAAAUCAAUUCUUUAAGGUUUAGAUUUGCUUUCUGAUAUUGUUUUUAAGAAUCUGUUUGUGUGGAUUUCAAAAUCUCUGCAGUAUAUUUCGGAUUUUGAUUCUAAUAAUUUACUCAUGAAACUCCAAAGAGGUUUCAUUCCAAAUGAUAUAAUAUACAAAGAUUUUACAAGUCUUUUAGGGGGUGUUAUUCAAUCAUGGAGUUAAAAUCAAUUCUUUAAGGAUUAGAUUAGCUUUAUGAUAUUGUUUUUAAGAAUCUGUUUGUGUGGAUUUCAAAAUCUUUUUCUUAGAUUUUGAUUCUAACAAUUUACUCAUGAAACUCCAAAGAAUUUUAUUUCAAAUGAUUUAUUAUACAAAGAUUUUACAAGUUUUUUAGUUUUGAAUAACACUGGAUUUUAAUGAAAUAUUUUAAAUCUUAGUUGAAUAACACCAAACUUUUAAAAUCUAAUGAAGUAUAAGAUCCAAUAACACCAUAUUUUAAAGUUAGAUUUAGAAUCACUAGUUGAAGAACACUAGAUUAGUGUUGGAUUUCAAUUCUAAUAAAAUCUAUCACUGAAUAACACCACUUUAGUUUUGAAUAACACUGGAUUUUAAUAAAAUAUUUUAAAUCUUAGUUGAAUAACAACAAACAUUAAAAUCUAUUAAACAUGAUUUACAAAUAUAAGAUCAAAUAACACCAGAUUUUAAAAUUAGAUUUAGAAUCAUUAGUUGAAUAACACUAGAUUAGUGUUGGAUUUCAAUUCUAUUAAAAUUCAUCAUUGAAUAACACCAUCUUAGCUUUUGGAUAUAUUGACGUUUAAUAACAUUAUCCUCAAUGUCAAUUUCAAACAUUUUUAAUUUCGUAAGAAGUAUUGGAGACGAGUUUGCUGUCAAUGGCAAUGGUACGUAGGCAACCUUCACAAAGAAAGAACCAAUAAACAACCAACUCUCCGGUUGGACUAAACCGGAAAUCCCAAUUUUAUUCAUAUUGUUAAAUCUGGUCUAAUCCUGGUCUUUUUGGUUAAAUAAGUACACGUGACUAAGUGAAGAAAAGAAGAUUUCUAGUGAUUUUGAAACUUUCAUGAUGGAAAAUGUACAUGUCCAGAGCCGGAAUCGACAUAGAUACCUUGAAAGUGUCUAGAUGUAUGGACAUAUUCCUGAUCUUUGAAAUAUGUGGGAGAAAACUGAGCAAACUAUGUCUCAUGGAUAAAACUACUUCUGAAAACAAACCAGAGCUGAGAUCAAGAUCUAACUUGAUAUUGGAAUCCAUAAUGGUUAUUAUAUAGCUAGCUCUCUCUGAUAGGUUACCAUAGAUGCCCAAAAAGUGUAGUGGAGGGGCAUCAAUCAGAACUCCUGUAUCAGAAUCAGGCACAUGUACCCGUAUACUUAUAGUGAGUCUCUUCAAAGACAUUUGCCUCAAAAUCAACAUAUUUAUUCCACCUCUAACUCUUCAAGGACAAGGGGGGAAGAGCCAAGUCUCCUAAAGGUGGCCUCAUUGGGAUAUCAAAUAUAUUCUAAACGCAUGAUCUAGCAACCUGCAUAACAUAAUUGAAAACUAAAAGUUUUAAAAGAGACGGAUUUGAAAUUACAAAAACAGAGCUUAAGAUCAACAUUUUAGCGGGGAAACCCAAUCAAACAUAAAAAAAACCCUAGAUUUGUAAUCUCAGACAUAUAUCUCAAAAGAAAAUCUAGAUCACAGAUGAACAAAAAAAAAAGGUUAACACAGGACAACUUCCAGUGACGGAGGACGAAGAAGUGUGUGAUAGACAAACUGCAAUAUUUGCUUGUGGGGCAAAGCCUAUAGCAUCCUAAUUUAACGACCAAAAGAUUAACAUUAAACGAAAAGUUGAGCAAUAUCUUUUACUAGCUAAAGAACAAGGACUUCACAUGUGCUAGAGCAUCUUGGCAUUGCAACGAGUUCUUUAAGAAAGUUACACAUUGCCUUUUUUGAAUAGUAAAGAUCAAGCCUUAGUUUCUUCAGGAUUGUUGAAUUCUUCAGCAAGUAUCUUAUUAGCUCUAUUUCUCCUUCAUACCCCGAGAUCGAAUGUUUCAAUUCCACAAACUUGAGGGAUGAUACCAAACACUGAGGCACUGUUGCAAACAUCACCUUUGGUUCUUUCUCCUUCUUACCACGCAUGAAUCGGUUCUUAACCAAUUCCUGCAAAAACGGAAGAAAACAAAUAUAGAAGAAAACAAAUUGAGAAAAGAAGUAUACACAAAAAAAUUCACAAACAAUAUGCAUAACUCAGAGGGCUAAAGUUAUUCAUUACCAAUACGAAAGAUUCUAGUUUUGGGCAGCUCUCAAGAAGCAUUGGCAACAUUUCAAGAUUAGAUUUAGAAAAUUCAACAUUCAAGCGGGAUAGGUCAUGAAACUGAAGCACUGGUCCCGACUUCGAGUAUUGAAAGAUUUCCUGGUUACAGAAGAAAGGAAUCUUAAUUAUGGUUAGAAGCUUUCGUUGAACAAUAUUCAUAUAUAUAUAUAUAUGCUCAAAUGUUGAGAUGCAAUAGAUACCUUCCAAACAAUAGCAUUAUUAAUAACCAGCUCCCUGACCCUCGAUAUAUCGGUCAGAAUGUCAGGAAUCAUGCUACUGUAUGUCGUAUGGCAAUAGGGGAAACCAAUAUCUAGUUUGGCAGAGGAACCAACAUUGAUGAUCUGAAAGUUCUUUGUUGAGGAAACCGUAGCGCUCAAACACUGGAGUAGAGGUGCAUCAAUCACAACUUGGGUGCCCUCAUUUAUAUAGACUCUCUUUAGCGUAUGAGAGCGCACUAGUAAAACAUUCGCCUUAUCAUCACCAUUCCAAGAUCUGUAGAUGGUUAAAUCUUCCAGAACUGGAGAGCCUGAGAUAAGUUUCUGCAACGUAGUCUCAUUGGGAUAUUUAUUAUGCUGUAGAUGCAUGAUCUUCAGACAAGGCAAGGAAACAAAGUCAGCAUUACACAAGGUGACCUCACAGAGUCGUAAGUGUACCAGUGUCUCACAGGUAUAUAAACUCGGGGGUAUCUCAUUACCGCAAAAAAAACGAACAUCAAGAUGCUGAAUCCUACGCGUAGUCACAGCAUCAAUCCAUGACGAGAGAUCAAGUCUACCAUGAGGAGAACAAUAAUUUAACCGGAGUUUGCGUAUCCAUGACUCCCUGUGGGAAUCAAAAAACCUUUCAACAAAACUCACAAAGGCAUCGAAAUUUGAGAAUUCGAUGGGUUCCAAGUCCAGUCCAGGAACCGAUUGCCAAAGAUUUCUCCAAUUGGUGGACAAAACACUUGUUCUUACAGCAUCCUUGGUAGAAAGAUGAAAAAGUAUUUCAGAAUCAAAUGUUCUGGUAACUGGCUUAUCCUAUCUUCCUCAUGUGAGACUUUGUUACGUAUUUUGGUUUGCUUCUUUCUUCUGCCCUCCAUUUCUCUUUCUUGAUUCACGUACACAACGAAUCUGCAUCAUCAAAUUUCAGAAAAAAAUGAAAGAUUUAAAGUCACAAAAACAACCAACUAAUUCCGAAUGAAAUGCGAGAUACGGACACACAGAUAAAUUGUAUCAGACUAAUCUAGAUGUGUUUCUCAGAAACACAGAUAAAUUGCAACGCGAGACUCAAAAUCGAUAUCGUAAUGAACAGAGAUAGAAGAAAUAACAUUACAUACAAGGGCUUUUUGAAGAUUACUAAAAAUCAAGGAACAGUAAAAGAAGAAGAAGGAACUCACACGGGAAUGGAGUUUAGUUACCUCGGCAGAUCAAAACCUAUUCGUCUUCCUCCAAGGUUAUAUAGUGUUGAAACUGAUGUCGACACAAAGGGAAGAAGAAGGCUUUGGACUGAAAAGUAUUAUGGGCCAUCGUUUUCGUUAAAGCCCAAAUAAAGAUGUGUUUUGUUUUGUUUAAUUUUAGCUUAGGGGCAACCAAUAUAUUUUGAAAUCCAUAUGAGAUUUAUAUAAAUCCUCACUGAUUUUAAAAAUCAGAUAUGUGGAUUUUAAGAUAAACAUGGGUUACCUAUGGAUUUGAGUUGUAUUUACAUGAAAGUCGAUUAUAAUUCAAUGUGAAUCUAAUGUUGAUUUUGAAAUCCAAGAAUAAAUCAAUAAACGAAUAACACAUGAUUCUAACUAGUAUUUAUAAAGAGUUCUAGACCAAUAUCACGUUAUUUUGACAAACAUUUUUAAAUCAAUGAUUGAGUAACACAUGAUUUUUGUUUAGAUUUCCAAAUCUAUUAAAAUGCAUGAACCAAUAAAAUGCAUGAUGUUUAAUACUUUUAUAAAAAUAUUUUUUAAAAUGGGUCCCUUAAUUAUUGGAGCAUGGGAUUGGGCCCUAGCCGUCGCACCCCGUAUUUGAGCCGGCACUGAGUAUGUGUAACAGUAUGUAGUAACUACAUAUUACAUAUAUGUUGUAAGAGCAGUAUCCUUACGUGUUAGAACAGGAAACAACCCAAAAACUAGAGAGUAUUAGUAAGUGCUCUUGUUUUAUAUCUAAAGAAAGAUAGUGUGAAACAGAGAGAACAAGAACAGCCAACAAAAAUGAGAGAGCUGACCUCAAAGAGGUCAUAAUUACACCAUUCAACAUGUAGCAAGAUGAUGAACCCUAAGUCACCAAGUGCCUUUAACCACUAUGAGAAUUAAUGGCGCUUGAAUUAGCCUUUCGACUCCUUUUUGACACAAUUCGAAUUGCAAACACCUUGCCGUUUAUCUCUCCUUUGGUGUUGAUGAAAACGGUGUGUAUGGUUCGUGCUUCUAAUCUUAUCUUAGGACUAAUAUAAAAGAAUAUAAUCAAACACAGAGCCGGCGCAAGAUAAACUGGGGCCACAAGCCCAAUAUAAUGUUUGGGCCGAACUAUAUUGUAGACAAAGGAAAAGAAAUUAAAACAGGUAAAAUGUGUUACAGUAAAGGUUCGAACUUGAGACCUUAGUAAUAUUUUCACAUCUUUAAACCACUAGACUAAAGAGACUUUUAUGUAAAAGAGGCCGAUUAAGAACUAUAUAUUUUUGGGGCCACAAGCACAUGCCUCACCAGCUUGUGUCUAGGGCCGGCUCUG